UACAUUUAAAGCCACUGUAGCUCAGCAGGCAGAGCAGCUGAUUCGUAAUCAGCAGGUCGGGGGAUCGAAACCC
rnacentral:tRNA from 1 species